rnacentral:rRNA from 1 species
CCUACGGGAGGCAGCAGUGAGGAAUAUUGGUCAAUGGGCGCGAGCCUGAACCAGCCAAGUCGCGUGAGGGAAGACGGUCCUAUGGAUUGUAAACCUCUUUUGUCGGGGAGCAAAAGACGCCACGCGUGGCGUUCCGCGAGUACCCGAAGAAAAAGCAUCGGCUAACUCCGUGCCAGCAGCCGCGGUAAUACGGAGGAUGCGAGCGUUAUCCGGAUUUAUUGGGUUUAAAGGGUGCGCAGGCGGAAGAUCAAGUCAGCGGUAAAAUUGAGAGGCUCAACCUCUUCGAGCCGUUGAAACUGGUAUUCUUGAGUGAGUGAGAGGUAUGCGGAAUGCGUGGUGUAGCGGUGAAAUGCAUAGAUAUCACGCAGAACUCCGAUUGCGAAGGCAGCAUGCCGGCGCUCAACUGACGCUCAUGCACGAAAGUGUGGGUAUCGAACAGGAUUAGAUACCCUUGUAGUC